rnacentral:rRNA from 1 species
CCCAUAGGGAAUCUUCCACAAUGGACGAAAGUCUGAUGGAGCAACGCCGCGUGAGUGAAGAAGGUUUUCGGAUCGUAAAACUCUGUUGUAAGGGAAGAACACGUACGAGAGUAACUGCUCGUACCUUGACGGUACCUUAUUAGAAAGCCACGGCUAACUACGUGCCAGCAGCCGCGGUAAUACGUAGGUGGCAAGCGUUGUCCGGAAUUAUUGGGCGUAAAGCGCGCGCAGGCGGUCCUUUAAGUCUGAUGUGAAAGCCCACGGCUCAACCGUGGAGGGUCAUUGGAAACUGGGGGACUUGAGUACAGAAGAGGAAAGCGGAAUUCCAAGUGUAGCGGUGAAAUGCGUAGAGAUUUGGAGGAACACCAGUGGCGAAGGCGGCUUUCUGGUCUGUAACUGACGCUGAGGCGCGAAAGCGUGGGGAGCAAACAGGAUUAGAUACCCUGGUAGUCCACGCCGUAAACGAUGAGUGCUAAGUGUUAGGGGGUUUCCGCCCCUUAGUGCUGCAGCUAACGCAUUAAGCACUCCGCCUGGGGAGUACGGCCGCAAGGCUGAAACU